rnacentral:rRNA from 1 species
AUUGAACGCUGGCGGCAGGCUUAACACAUGCAAGUCGAGCGGAGCGAGGGUGCUUGCACCUUAGCUUAGCGGCGGACGGGUGAGUAAUGCUUAGGAAUCUGCCUAUUAGCGGGGGACAACAUUCCGAAAGGAAUGCUAAUACCGCAUACGCCCUACGGGGGAAAGCAGGGGAUCUUCGGACCUUGCGCUAAUAGAUGAGCCUAAGUCGGAUUAGCUAGGUGGUGGGGUAAAGGCCUACCAAGGCGACGAUCUGUAGCGGGUCUGAGAGGAUGAUCCGCCACACUGGGACUGAGACACGGCCCAGACUCCUACGGGAGGCAGCAGUGGGGAAUAUUGGACAAUGGGCGGAAGCCUGAUCCAGCCAUGCCGCGUGUGUGAAGAAGGCCUUUUGGUUGUAAAGCACUUUAAGCGAGGAGGAGGCUACUUAGAUUAAUACUCUGGGAUAGUGGACGUUACUCGCAGAAUAAGCACCGGCUAACUCUGUGCCAGCAGCCGCAGUAACAC